rnacentral:rRNA from 1 species
UAAUGUCUGGGAAACUGCCUGAUGGAGGGGGAUAACUACUGGAAACGGUAGCUAAUACCGCAUAAUGUCGCAAGACCAAAUGGGGGACCUUCGGGCCUCAUGCCAUCAGAUGUGCCCAGAUGGGAUUAGCUAGUAGGUGGGGUAACGGCUCACCUAGGCGACGAUCCCUAGCUGGUCUGAGAGGAUGACCAGCCACACUGGAACUGAGACACGGUCCAG